AAACGUAGGGGGCAAGCGUUGUCCGGAAUUACUGGGCGUAAAGGGCGUGUAGGCGGCCCGCGCAAGUCAGUCGUGAAACCCACCGGCUCAACUGGUGGCUUGCGAUUGAAACUGCCGGGCUUGAGUACAGAAGAGGGAAGUGGAAUUCCCAGUGUAGCGGUGAAAUGCGUAGAUAUUGGGAGGAACACCAGUGGCGAAAGCGGCUCCCUGGCCUGUAACUGACGCUGAGGCGCGAAAGCGUGGGUAGCAAACAGGAUUAGAUACCCUGGUAGUCCACGCCGUAAACGAUGGGUGCUAGGUGUUGAGGGUAUCGACCCCCCCAGUGCCGCAGUUAACGCACUAAGCACCCCGCCUGGGGACUACGGCCGCAAGGCUAAA
rnacentral:rRNA from 1 species